rnacentral:rRNA from 1 species
CCUACGGGAGGCAGCAGUGGGGAAUUUUGGACAAUGGGCGCAAGCCUGAUCCAGCAAUGCCGCGUGAGUGAAGAAGGCCUUCGGGUUGUAAAGCUCUUUUGUCGGGGAAGAAACGGUUGGGGCUAAUAUCCUCAGCUAAUGACGGUACCUGAAGAAUAAGCACCGGCUAACUACGUGCCAGCAGCCGCGGUAAUACGUAGGGUGCAAGCGUUAAUCGGAAUUACUGGGCGUAAAGCGUGCGCAGGCGGUUUUGUAAGUCUGUCGUGAAAGCCCCGGGCUUAACCUGGGAAUUGCGAUGGAGACUGCAAGGCUUGAAUCUGGCAGAGGGGGGUAGAAUUCCACGUGUAGCAGUGAAAUGCGUAGAGAUGUGGAGGAACACCGAUGGCGAAGGCAGCCCCCUGGGUCAAGAUUGACGCUCAUGCACGAAAGCGUGGGGAGCAAAACAGGAUUAGAUACCCUGGUAGUCCACGCCCUAAAACGAUGUCUACUAGUUGUCGGGUCUUAAAUUGACUUGGUAAACGCAGCUAACGCGUGAAGUAGACCGCCUGGGGAGUACGGUCGCAAAGAUUAAAAACCUCAAAAGAAGUAGUAGACGCGAGAGAGACGACGACGACGACAGAGGAGGAGG